rnacentral:rRNA from 1 species
CGAACGGGUGAGUAACACGUGAGCAACCUGCCCUAGGCUUUGGGAUAACCCCGGGAAACCGGGGCUAAUACCGAAUAUGACCUCCGAUCGCAUGGUUGGUGGUGGAAAGUUUUUCGGCCUGGGAUGGGCUCGCGGCCUAUCAGCUUGUUGGUGGGGUGAUGGCCUACCAAGGCGACGACAGGUAGCCGGCCUGAGAGGGCGACCGGCCACACUGGGACUGAGACACGGCCCAGACUCCUACGGGAGGCAGCAGUGGGGAAUAUUGCACAAUGGGCGGAAGCCUGAUGCAACGACGCCGCGUGAGGGAUGACGGCCUUCGGGUUGUAAACCUCUUUCAGCAGGGACGAAGCGUAAGUGACGGUACCUGCAGAAGAAGCGCCGGCCAACUACGUGCCAGCAGCCGCGGUAAGACGUACGGCGCGAGCGUUGUCCGGAUUUAUUGGGCGUAAAGAGCUCGUAGGCGGCUUGUCACGUCCACCGUGAAAACUUGGGGCUCAACCCCAAGCCUGCGGUCGAUACGGGCAGGCUAGAGUUCGGUAGGGGAGACUGGAAUUCCUGGUGUAGCGGUGAAAUGCGCAGAUAUCAGGAGGAACACCGGUG